CUUUCUACAGGCUUAACACAUGCAAGUCGAGGGGCAGCAUUUCAGUUUGCUUGCAAACUGGAGAUGGCGACCGGCGCACGGGUGAGUAACACGUAUCCAACCUGCCGAUAACUCGGGGAUAGCCUUUCGAAAGAAAGAUUAAUACCCGAUGGCAUAAUUAGACCGCAUGGUCUUAUUAUUAAAGAAUUUCGGUUAUCGAUGGGGAUGCGUUCCAUUAGGCAGUUGGUGAGGUAACGGCUCACCAAACCUUCGAUGGAUAGGGGUUCUGAGAGGAAGGUCCCCCACAUUGGAACUGAGACACGGUCCAAACUCCUACGGGAGGCAGCAGUGAGGAAUAUUGGUCAAUGGACGAGAGUCUGAACCAGCCAAGUAGCGUGAAGGAUGACUGCCCUAUGGGUUGUAAACUUCUUUUAUAUGGGAAUAAAGUUUUCCACGUGUGGAAUUUUGUAUGUACCAUAUGAAUAAGGAUCGGCUAACUCCGUGCCAGCAGCCGCGGUAAUACGGAGGAUCCGAGCGUUAUCCGGAUUUAUUGGGUUUAAAGGGAGCGUAGGUGGACAGUUAAGUCAGUUGUGAAAGUUUGCGGCUCAACCGUAAAAUUGCAGUUGAUACUGGCUGUCUUGAGUACAGUAGAGGUGGGCGGAAUUCGUGGUGUAGCGGUGAAAUGCUUAGAUAUCACGAAGAACUCCGAUUGCGAAGGCAGCUCACUGGACUGCAACUGACACUGAUGCUCGAAAGUGUGGGUAUCAAACAGGAUUAGAUACCCUGGUAGUCCACACAGUAAACGAUGAAUACUCGCUGUUUGCGAUAUACAGUAAGCGGCCAAGCGAAAGCAUUAAGUAUUCCACCUGGGGAGUACGCCGGCAACGGUGAAACUCAAAGGAAUUGACGGGGGCCCGCACAAGCGGAGGAACAUGUGGUUUAAUUCGAUGAUACGCGAGGAACCUUACCCGGGCUUAAAUUGCAUUUGAAUAAUCUGGAAACAGGUUAGCCGCAAGGCAAAUGUGAAGGUGCUGCAUGGUUGUCGUCAGCUCGUGCCGUGAGGUGUCGGCUUAAGUGCCAUAACGAGCGCAACCCUUAUCUUUAGUUACUAACAGGUCAUGCUGAGGACUCUAGAGAGACUGCCGUCGUAAGAUGUGAGGAAGGUGGGGAUGACGUCAAAUCAGCACGGCCCUUACGUCCGGGGCUACACACGUGUUACAAUGGGGGGUACAGAAGGCAGCUACCUGGUGACAGGAUGCUAAUCCCAAAAGCCUCUCUCAGUUCGGAUCGAAGUCUGCAACCCGACUUCGUGAAGCUGGAUUCGCUAGUAAUCGCGCAUCAGCCAUGGCGCGGUGAAUACGUUCCCGGGCCUUGUACACACCGCCCGUCACACCACGAGAGUUGAUUGCACCUGAAGUAGCAGGCCUAACCGCAAGGAAGGAUGCUCCGAGGGUGUGGUUAGCGAUUGG
rnacentral:rRNA from 1 species